AUUGAACGCUAGCGGGAUGCUUUACACAUGCAAGUCGAACGAGUGGCGGACGGGUGAGUAAUGUCUGGGAAACUGCCUGAUGGAGGGGGAUAACUACUGGAAACGGUAGCUAAUACCGCAUACCAUCAGAUGUGCCCAGAUGGGAUUAGCUAGUAGGUGGGGUAAUGGCUCACCUAGGCGACGAUCCCUAGCUGGUCUGAGAGGAUGACCAGCCACACUGGAACUGAGACACGGUCCAGACUCCUACGGGAGGCAGCAGUGGGGAAUAUUGCACAAUGGGCGCAAGCCUGAUGCAGCCAUGCCGCGUGUGUGAAGAAGGCCUUCGGGUUGUAAAGCACUUUCAGCGAGGAGGCGUUACUCGCAGAAGAAGCACCGGCUAACUCCGUGCCAGCAGCCGCGGUAAUAC
rnacentral:rRNA from 1 species